rnacentral:rRNA from 1 species
GAUGAACGCUGGCGGCGUGCCUAAUACAUGCAAGUCGAGCGAACGGACGAGAAGCUUGCUUCUCUGAUGUUAGCGGCGGACGGGUGAGUAACACGUGGAUAACCUACCUAUAAGACUGGGAUAACUUCGGGAAACCGGAGCUAAUACCGGAUGAUAUUUUGAACCGCAUGGUUCAAAAGUGAAAGACGGUCUUGCUGUCACUUAUAGAUGGAUCCGCGCUGCAUUAGCUAGUUGGUAAGGUAACGGCUUACCAAGGCAACGAUGCAUAGCCGACCUGAGAGGGUGAUCGGCCACACUGGAACUGAGACACGGUCCAGACUCCUACGGGAGGCAGCAGUAGGGAAUCUUCCGCAAUGGGCGAAAGCCUGACGGAGCAACGCCGCGUGAGUGAUGAAGGUCUGCGGAUCGUAAAACUCUGUUAUUAGGGAAGAACAUAUGUGUAAGUAACUGCGCACAUCUUGACGGUACCUAAUCAGAAAGCCACGGCUAACUACGU